rnacentral:rRNA from 1 species
CGGCCGUAUAAGUCCUUUGUGAAAUCGUCAGGCUCAACCUGACGGUGUGCAGAGGAUACUGUACGGCUCGAGACCGGGAGGGGUCAGAAGUAUUCCGUGGGGAGCGGUAAAAUGCUAUAAUCCACGGAGGACUACCGAUGGCGAAAGCAUCUGACCAGAACGGAUCUGACGGUGAGGGACGAAAGCCAGGGGAGCAAACCGGAUUAGAUACCCGAGUAGUCCUGGCCGUAAACGAUGUGAGCUAGGUGCCGCGUGAUUUACGGGAUCACGCGGUAUCGAAACGAAGGUGCUAAGCUCACCGCCUGGGAA